rnacentral:rRNA from 1 species
UUGUUGGGUAGGGGAGCGUUCUGUAAGCCUGCGAAGGUGUGCUGUGAGGCAUGCUGGAGGUAUCAGAAGUGCGAAUGCUGACAUAAGUAACGAUAAAGCGGGUGAAAAGCCCGCUCGCCGGAAGACCAAGGGUUCCUGUCCAACGUUAAUCGGGGCAGGGUGAGUCGACCCCUAAGGCGAGGCCGAAAGGCGUAGUCGAUGGGAAACAGGUUAAUAUUCCUGUACUUGGUGUUACUGCGAAGGGGGGACGGAGAAGGCUAUGUUGGCCGGGCGACGGUUGUCCCGGUUUAAGCGUGUAGGCUGGUUUUCCAGGCAAAUCCGGAAAAUCAAGGCUGAGGCGUGAUGACGAGGCACUACGGUGCUGAAGCAACAAAUGCCCUGCUUCCAGGAAAAGCCUCUAAGCAUCAGGUAACAUCAAAUCGUACCCCAAACCGACACAGGUGGUCAGGUAGAGAAUACCAAGGCGCUUGAGAGAACUCGGGUGAAGGAACUAGGCAAAAUGGUGCCGUAACUUCGGGAGAAGGCACGCUGAUAUGUAGGUGAAGUCCCUCGCGGAUGGAGCUGAAAUCAGUCGAAGAUACCAGCUGGCUGCAACUGUUUAUUAAAAACACAGCACUGUGCAAACACGAAAGUGGACGUAUACGGUGUGACGCCUGCCCGGUGCCGGAAGGUUAAUUGAUGGGGUUAGCGCAAGCGAAGCUCUUGAUCGAAGCCCCGGUAAACGGCGGCCGUAACUAUAACGGUCCUAAGGUAGCGAAAUUCCUUGUCGGGUAAGUUCCGACCUGCACGAAUGGCGUAAUGAUGGCCAGGCUGUCUCCACCCGAGACUCAGUGAAAUUGAACUCGCUGUGAAGAUGCAGUGUACCCGCGGCAAGACGGAAAGACCCCGUGAACCUUUACUAUAGCUUGACACUGAACAUUGAGCCUUGAUGUGUAGGAUAGGUGGGAGGCUUUGAAGUGUGGACGCCAGUCUGCAUGGAGCCGACCUUGAAAUACCACCCUUUAAUGUUUGAUGUUCUAACGUUGACCCGUAAUCCGGGUUGCGGACAGUGUCUGGUGGGUAGUUUGACUGGGGCGGUCUCCUCCUAAAGAGUAACGGAGGAGCACGAAGGUUGGCUAAUCCUGGUCGGACAUCAGGAGGUUAGUGCAAUGGCAUAAGCCAGCUUGACUGCGAGCGUGACGGCGCGAGCAGGUGCGAAAGCAGGUCAUAGUGAUCCGGUGGUUCUGAAUGGAAGGGCCAUCGCUCAACGGAUAAAAGGUACUCCGGGGAUAACAGGCUGAUACCGCCCAAGAGUUCAUAUCGACGGCGGUGUUUGGCACCUCGAUGUCGGCUCAUCACAUCCUGGGGCUGAAGUAGGUCCCAAGGGUAUGGCUGUUCGCCAUUUAAAGUGGUACGCGAGCUGGGUUUAGAACGUCGUGAGACAGUUCGGUCCCUAUCUGCCGUGGGCGCUGGAGAACUGAGGGGGGCUGCUCCUAGUACGAGAGGACCGGAGUGGACGCAUCACUGGUGUUCGGGUUGUCAUGCCAAUGGCACUGCCCGGUAGCUAAAUGCGGAAGAGAUAAGUGCUGAAAGCAUCUAAGCACGAAACUUGCCCCGAGAUGAGUUCUCCCUGACUCCUUGA